UUCGCAAUGCCCGAAAGGGUGAACGAGCGACGCCGCGUGCGGGAUGAAGGGUUUCGGCUUGUAAACCGCUUUUCUUUGGGAAGAAGGUCUGUCUCGUGCAGAUGGGCUCGACGGUACCAGAGGAAUAAGCCUCGGCUAACUCCGUGCCAGCAGCCGCGGUAAGACGGAGGAGGCAAGCGUUGUUCGGAAUUAUUGGGCGUAAAGGGCGCGUAGGCGGAUCGGUAAGUCUGGCGUGAAAUCUCCACCGCUUAACGGGGAGAGGUCGCUGGAAACUACCGAUCUGGAGUUCGGCAGGGGGCCAUGGAAUUCCAGGUGUAGCGGUGGAAUGCGUAGAUAUCUGGAAGAACACCGGUAGCGAAGGCGGUGGUCUGGGCCGAAACUGACGCUGAGGCGCGAAAGCCAGGGGAGCAAACGGGAUUAGAUACCCCGGUGGUCCUGGCCGUAAACGUUGGGCACUAAGUAGAGGGGUUUU
rnacentral:rRNA from 1 species